UCAAUACAUCUGAAAUCAAUAGUCCAGUGACCUCAUGGCUCAACUAUUUAAAGCUUAAAAUAAUUGUUACCCAUUUACCACGAAAAUAGGACGCGGCGAUCACGACAUGUUCCAGGGUAAUUCUGUGGGCUUAUUACUUUGAAUACAGAAAUCAAACACCUUUGACUGUUUAAACAGGUGUGCUGGAAAAGAAUGCACUAACUAUAUCAUGUCUCAUCACGGUGACAGGUGGCCAACCUACAACACCAACUAUUAUUUACGACUUCAGCAGUUACACCUCAACAGGAACACAGCAUUUAGGCUAGAACCACUCCUCUCUUCGGUUAAGUCUCAGCUCCUCAUUACCAGGCUAAUUUCUCCAGCCUCUCUCUACCGCCACCAUCGCACAAUGAAGCUUUUGUGUAUAUUCUGGAAAAGGAUGGCCAAGUUCCAUUGAAACCGUUUAACUGAAACAGGAUAAACUCGCUUGUGGUGAGGUCAACCAGAGAGCUUGCCGUGGGGAGCCAAAACAGAGCAAAUGACCCAGCUCAGCAGAUCGUUUCCCUCCGAGCAGAACAGUGAGGUAGGGACACGAGUUCAGGAGUGAAUGGCUGAUCGCUUCACAUAUCUUUCACGCAGGUUCACUUCCUCAUUGCGGCAGUAAAUCAGGAACGGUGCCCAAACGCACGCCUCUUUUUUCAACUGUCACCUGUGUAAGAGGUCCCAAGAUCAGAAGCAUUCAUAUUGAUAGCAUCACUUCAUCAGAACUGUUUUCAAAAGCUUCAGGUUAAUUAUGGUUUGAUGUCAUUGAUAAGAGAGUCCACUGACGAACUGUAAAGUAGAAGUUGGGGAGAUUUCUGUUGUGAUAGGCUGAUGUCAUUUGAUUAAAGUGUUAUUGACUUAUUUAUUUAAAGAGUUCAUUGGCAAAAACAAACAUAACUUAUAACAUUUACUUGUAACUUUUUUUGUGCAUUCCAAGUAACAUCAAUCAAA